rnacentral:lncRNA from 1 species
AAUGCAGAGACCAUGGACUGAUAUGCCCAGGCCCCUGCUGCUCCAGCAAGCAACUGCAAACAGCUCUAGAAAUGCUGUAACCCUGCUGUCCUGACUGGCCCCCAGUGAAUGAGCAGGAUGAGUUGGUGAUGGCUCCAAACUUUGCCAUUGAGUGUUCAGAUCUGCACUUUAGGGAGUUUGAAUAGACACAACAGCAUCUGUUGGCAGCAUCUCAAAGCACCUAUAAGACAGUUGGGGAAGAACAUCUGGAAGACAGUUAAGGAACAGCAAGUGAGAAGCAGAGAGAAGCGAAUAGGUGGAAGCCACAGUUGGCAGAAGCCCUAAGGUCUGGUGGUGUGUUUGAAAGAAAUGAAGCCCAGGUGGUGGCUGAAUCGGCGGAGGUGCCUCUGUCCAGAGAAGCCACGAGAGCCAGGAGGCAUUUCCUGAGUAGAGGAAAACAGCUACACACACGAAGGACCCGGAAUAUUGAACCCCAAGGUUCGACAGACUGAGGACAGAGGAUAGCCAAUUAAAAUGAUCGAUUCCCAAGUGAUUCUUACAUGACAGUAUAAUCUUUAAAAACAUAGCAAGCUAUUUUAGAAGCAGGACCACACAAUAAUUUGUUAAAACUGAAGUUUUGUGAAAGUAAGAGUUUCAAUAAACUUGAUUAAAAUCAAGGUCCAUUUCUCAUCCACAUUGAGUUUCUCAGCCAAAUCGAAAAUGAGCAAUGUAAAUACUAGUUAUUUUAUAACUUGUAGAUUUGGAGAGAUCCCAAUUUUUAUAAUUUUUG